GAUGAACGCUAGCGGCAGGCUUAACACAUGCAAGUCGAGGGGUAACAUAGAAAAGCUUGCUUUUCUGAUGACGACCGGCGCACGGGUGCGUAACGCGUAUACAACCUACCUUUUAGCGGGGAAUAGCCCAGGGAAACUUGGAUUAAUGCCCCAUAGUAUAUAGACUUCUCCUGAAGUUUAUAUUAAACAUUUAUGGCUAUUAGAUGGGUAUGCGUCCUAUUAGUUAGUUGGUAAGGUAACGGCUUACCAAGGCAGCGAUAGGUAGGGGUCCUGAGAGGGAGAUCCCCACACUGGUACUGAGACACGGACCAGACUCCUACGGGAGGCAGCAGUGAGGAAUAUUGGACAAUGGGCGAGAGCCUGAUCCAGCCAUGCCGCGUGCAGGAAGACUGCCCUAUGGGUUGUAAACUGCUUUUACAGAGGAAGAACCACCCCCACGUGUGGGGGUUUGACGGUACUCUGCGGAUAAGGAUCGGCUAACUCCGUG
rnacentral:rRNA from 1 species